CAGAAGCGGAAGGACCCACAGCCGGGGACCUAAGCGGCUGCGGCGCGGAGAUGACGUAAGAAGACCCGGUGCAUAGGUGGCUGCGGCGAGCGCCUGAGUGGAGAGGUACGGUCACAACAUGAGGGACCUUUAGAUGAGAGGAAAAACACGCUCAAAAGAAAUGGAAAGACUGCUGAAAAGGAAUACUCACCAGCAUCAGUGACUGAUGGCUGGAUGAAGCCCAGCACGGGCAGCUAUCCUGCAAUGCUGUAGUCGGAGCUACAGGGACACUUCCACCAGAACUGCCAAAGAACCAGGAAUCUGCUUUGAGACCUUUAACAACGCCGACACAAAACAGCACAAGAGUGCAGAUGAAGCACCAGGGCAGUCCAAACUUCAUAUACGUCAAACCCAAGGACAAAACAAAAGAUUCCGGUAAAAACCAACCACGCAAACACAACUCCGGUUCCUCAGUGGCCACCUCCACACCAAGCCCUGAGAAAACUGUGAGCGAAAAUGCCCACGUUCACAAACCUGGAGCACGUGCUCUAGGGGUUGUGAAUAAAAAACCAAGGACUGAGAAACUAUUCUCCCAACACCAUGAGCUCGUCACAGCUCCCCCAUAUUCUAGUAUUUGGGGAAAGUAUGAUGCUUCAUUCAGAAACUGAUGGAUGCUGCAUGCAGGGGGUUCUAAAACAGUAGUUCUCAAACUUUUAUACUGGUGACCCCUUUCACAUAGCAAACCUCUGAAUGCGA